rnacentral:rRNA from 1 species
UACGUAGGGUGCGAGCGUUGUCCGGAAUUACUGGGCGUAAAGAGCUCGUAGGUGGUUUGUCGCGUUGUUCGUGAAAACUCACGGCUUAACUGUGAGCGUGCGGGCGAUACGGGCAGACUGGAGUACUGCAGGGGAGACUGGAAUUCCUGGUGUAGCGGUGGAAUGCGCAGAUAUCAGGAGGAACACCGGUGGCGAAGGCGGGUCUCUGGGCAGUAACUGACGCUGAGGAGCGAAAGCGUGGGGGAGCGAACGGG